AUUGAACGCUGGCGGAAUGCUUUACACAUGCAAGUCGAGCGGCAGCACGGGGGCAACCCUGGUGGCGAGCGGCGAACGGGUGAGUAAUACAUCGGAACAUGCCCAGUCGUGGGGGAUAACACUUCGAAAGAAGUGCUAAUACCGCAUACGUCCUGAGGGAGAAAGCGGGGGAUCUUCGGACCUCGCGCGAUUGGAGUGGCCGAUGUCAGAUUAGCUAGUUGGUGGGGUAAAGGCCCACCAAGGCAACGAUCUGUAGCUGGUCUGAGAGGAUGAUCAGCCAAGCUGGGACUGAGACACGGCCCAGACUCCUACGGGAGGCAGCAGUGGGGAAUUUUGGACAAUGGGGGCAACCCUGAUCCAGCCAUUCCGCGUGAGUGAAGAAGGCCUUCGGGUUGUAAAGCUCUUUCGGCAGGAACGAAACGGCGAGCUCUAACAUAGCUUGCUAAUGACGGUACCUGAAGAAGAAGCACCGGCUAACUACGUGCCAGCCGCCGCAGUAAGAC
rnacentral:rRNA from 1 species